rnacentral:rRNA from 1 species
UACGGAGGGGGCUAGCGUUGUUCGGAAUUACUGGGCGUAAAGCGCGCGUAGGCGGCUUUGUAAGUUAGAUGUGAAAGCCCCGGGCUUAACCCGGGAAGUGCAUUUAAAACUACAAAACUUGAGUAUGGAAGAGGGUCGUGGAAUUCCUGGUGUAGUGGUGAAAUACGUAGAUAUCAGGAGGAACACCGGCGGCGAAGGCGGCGACCUGGUCCUAUACUGACACUCAUACACGAAAGCGUGGGGAUCAAACAGG